AGCUUAAUGAGGGUUCCCAGCCUGGAGCACGAGUUCUGUUCCAUUCUUUCUUCUUCAGCUGCAACACAGAAAGGGGUCAUGGUUAUGUUAGCACAAAAAGGGCAAAACCUUAGGGAUCGUGUGGCUUGCGGCUAGGGCUUGAAAGACCGAGCAGAUACCGAAAGAAAAAAGAAAAGUCAGAAAAAAGAGCUUGAAUAAAUCUUAAAACCCUAACCCUCCUCUUUUUCUCGUUUCUGCAUCACUAAUCGUUUCCGAUGGCGGGAGGAAAGAUCAAGAAAGAGAAAGCAAAGUCAAAUCGCGCACCAGCAAACCACUACCAAGGAGGCAUAUCCUUCCACAAGUCCAAAGGUCAACACAUACUCAAGAAUCCUUUAUUAGUGGACUCCAUUGUGCAAAAAGCUGGAAUCAAGAGCACCGAUGUCAUCCUCGAAAUCGGUCCCGGUACCGGAAAUCUUACUAAGAAGCUUCUUGAAGCUGGAAAGGAAGUCAUCGCCAUCGAGCUUGAUUCUCGUAUGGUUCUCGAGUUGCAGCGGCGGUUUCAGGGGACUCCGUUCUCUAAUCGCCUGAAGGUCAUCCAGGGUGAUGUGCUAAAGACCGAUCUUCCCCAUUUUGAUAUUUGUGUGGCAAACAUUCCUUACCAAAUAUCUUCUCCCCUCACUUUCAAAUUAUUAUUUCACCAACCUGGCUUCAGGUGUGCUGUCAUUAUGUUUCAAAGAGAAUUCGCAAUGAGGCUGGCUGCUCAGCCUGGAGACAAUCUCUAUUGUCGUCUUUCUGUAAAUACCCAGCUCUAUGCUCGAGUAUCUCAUCUACUCAAAGUUGGGAGGAACAAUUUCCGGCCACCACCAAAGGUUGAUUCAUCUGUUGUUCGAAUUGAGCCCAGGAAACCACGUCCACAAGUGAAUGCUAAGGAGUGGGAUGGAUUUAUACGAAUUUGUUUCAUUCGAAAGAACAAAACCCUUGGUUCCAUUUUCAGGCAGAAAAAUGUACUUUCGCUACUGGAGAAGAACUACAAGACCUUACUGUCACUACAGUCUCAAAAUGAUUCCUCUGAGGAUGCUACUAUGAAUAUAUUGAGAUUGGGGGAUUCUAAUGGGGAUCAAAGCAUGGAGAUGGAUGAUGAAAUGGAUGAUGAAAUGGAGGUGGAGGAUGGCGAGGGAGAUGGUGAGGUUUCGGAAUUCAAGGACAAGGUCUUGGCUGUGUUAAGGGAGGGAGAUUUUGAAGAGAAGAGGGCUUCCAAACUCUCACAACAAGAGUUUUUAUUUCUACUCUCUCUGUUCAACAAAGCUGGCAUUCAUUUCUCUUGAUUUAGUUCUCAAAUAUCUGCAGCGUCUUCUCAAGUCAUGUAUGUAAUUCUUGAAGUAUAUAUAUGGCUGGAUGGCAGAAUAAUGUUUCUGCAGUGUGGUUCUUUCAUUUAGUGAUGGUUGGAGAAUAAGGAGCAUGAGAAGACAGCAUAACAAGAGAGGUUUUUGGUAAUCUAGAAGAUCUUGGAUUGAAAAGAAUCCUCCUAGCGUCUGUAUCUAUACUUGUAUAAGUAUAUAUUUUUAUUGUGAACAAAAAUUGAAUCCUCAUCCCCUGCUGUGCCAUGAUUAUCAUGGAUCUUCCUGGUUGAAUCAUCAUCCCCGCUUGAUCCUUCUUUUUUUUGUUUUACUAAUGCUAGAAUACUGUAUCUCUUGAUAAUAAUAU